UACAGAGGUCUCAAGCGUUGUUCGGAUUCAUUGGGCGUAAAGGGUGCGUAGGCGGCUAGGCAAGUCAGGUGUGAAAGCCCCGAGCUUAACUCGGGAACUGCAUCUGAAACUGCUGGGCUUGAGUUCUGGAGGGGGUAGUGGAAUUCCCAGUGUAGCGGUGAAAUGCGUAGAUAUUGGGAGGAACACCUGCGGCGAAGGCGGCUACCUGGACAGAAACUGACGCUGAGGCGCGAAAGCUAGGGGAGCGAACGGG
rnacentral:rRNA from 1 species